rnacentral:tRNA from 1 species
GCCUGGGUGGCUCAGUCGGUUGAGCAUCUGACUUCGGCUCAGGUCAUGAUCUCAUUGUUGUCAGUUCGAACCCUACAUUGGGCU